rnacentral:miRNA from 1 species
AGAUCCGAAAGGUGUUCUUCC